rnacentral:misc_RNA from 1 species
AUACCGGCGCAGUAAAUUACGCUUUUGAGGUCUGGUGUUACGCUGAAAGUAAACAAGGGCGAGAGUCGGUCACGCGCAUCGUAAUUUUUUGUAUUUCAUUUCCCACCGAUCUUACGCAUUUUGAUCGUCGUCGAUCAACCAGCUCAGAAGUUUUCGAUUCGCAAACUCCAGGCAUUCGGACUGACCCAAAUUACACGACCAAGUCAGCGCGUUUGUCCUGAGGAACUUUUCUACGUGUUUAUCGUCGUCGGAUUCUUCGUAUCCCACUUUGUCCAGGGCACCGGCCAGCAGACCCGUAACAAUCCAGUCACCGGCAGAGGGUACGGAAACGGUGGUAGUUGCGCUAUCGGAAAUCCAAGUGGUAGGAGUUGUUACGGAAUAAUCGGGGGCCGAUGCGGUCGCCCAAUUUAUUGGAAUCCACCAGGACACUUUAGGGUAGUAGGAAUCACGAUUUCUCAAAAAGAAUCUUUCCUGUCGAGAAUGAGAGAAAGGCAGACGUUAUCGGUGGCUCGGAACGAUGGUUCCAACUAUCUUCGGUCGUCUGGUAUCACCUGGCUCAAGGUCACCGCGCCUGAUUCGUAAUUCCUGCUCGCUGUGACCAGCGGAAAACCAGCCCGAGUCACCCAAGUAUCCAUGUGUUGUUUGACAUUCAACGAUUGACCUGCGUCGUCUACAGCCGUUUGCAUCGACGCCCACAGAAGAUCGGAUGUACCGACGGAAAAAUUACUAAAUUGA